CUCCAGACUCCUACGGGAGGCAGCAGUGGGGGAUAUUGCACAAUGGGGGAAACCCUGAUGCAGCGACGCCGCGUGAGUGAAGAAGUAUUUCGGUAUGUAAAGCUCUAUCAGCAGGGAAGAAGAUGACAGUACCUGAGUAAGAAGCCCCGGCUAACUACGUGCCAGCAGCCGCGGUAAUACGUAGGGGGCAAGCGUUAUCCGGAUUUACUGGGUGUAAAGGGAGCGUAGACGGUUAUGUAAGUCUGGAGUGAAAGCCCGGGGCCCAACCCCGGGACUGCUUUGGAAACUGUGUAACUAGAGUACAGGAGGGGCAGGCGGAAUUCCUGGUGUAGCGGUGAAAUGCGUAGAUAUCAGGAGGAACACCGGCGGCGAAGGCGGCUUACUGGACGGUAACUGACGUUGAGGCUCGAAAGCGUGGGGAGCAAACAGGAUUAGAUACCCGAGUAAAG
rnacentral:rRNA from 1 species